AAUACACUUAAGAAACAGGUUACAAAAUGUAAUUUCUUACCGUAAAUGUUAUUUUGGGCAGAUUGUAAAGUUUCUGUAGCUUAGGGCAGUGGUAUCCAA